UGAACGUCAACUUGAGUGGCCUCUUUUUAAUCAAUUGCGAUACGCCAAUAAUUGCAAGUGCAAGUGCAAAGACAAAACGGGCAAAGACAAGGUUAGCCGCUGAAAAAGCCGUCUUGGCUUUAAAUCAAAACAAGUGCAGCGAAAAAGGCAGGCAAGAAAAGCAACAAAACUGCACAGAAAAAAUUGAAACCCAAUUUUGUUGCAGUUAACAACUCUCAGAUCCACUUCAAGUGCGACUUUUAAUUUACAUGUUCGUGUCCGUAAUGGAAAAUCGCAAUUUUUCAACAACUUCAAGGAGCUGCGAAUGAACUGGAAUGAAAUGUUUAUCAAUUAGCGUGCAAAAAUGCCGUGGCAUUUCCCUGAGAAAUUUCGGCUUCAAUUUGGAAUUCGGCUUGGAUUGGAUUCUUCCAUUAGAGCCGCUGUCAAUUAGAGCGGGAUGUCUGCGAUGUCAGCCAGAUAUAUGGGGCCCAAACGGAAUGCACUCGAUCUUUGGAUUGGAGCCCAAGGCCAGCUAGCGACCCCCUCCCACUUUUCGUUCAACUGAAAACUGCAAGCGCCGAAAUGGGGAAAUGGUGAAAUAAAAGCAGAACCCACCCAUUUGAACAUUGAACCAAAUCGAACCGAAUUGCACAGGAACCGAAGCCAAUAAACAAAGACAUCAAUGGCCCAGAGGCUAUAGCUGCGCGAUUCUUCAGCGAUUGGUGCUUCUUGUGCGUCUUUUGAAUUAGAUGCAGUCCCAUAAAUAAUAAUUCGACAGCGAAUGCAAAGUGGAAAAGCAAAUACUUGCCAUGGCGACAAAUGCUUAGCGCAGCGGCAGUGGGCGAACGAAAGAGAGGGGUAUAUUGGCGAAGAAAGAAAGAAGAGAGAGAGGUAGGUAGAGCCACUGCUUGGCACACGUUUGCCCAGAGACCCAGAGCAAUCAAUAAUCCGAAGCGUAGAGCCAGCGGGGAAACGCGGGGAUCGAACUUAGAUCGCAAUGAAUCCCCGCACUGGAAGAGUUCAGUGCGAAGAACAGCGGCGAAGAGAGGUCCGAAGACUGUUGACUAGAGGCACAGGAGGAAGGCGGCUGCAAGAGAGGUCCCCAGAAUGGUGGGUUGGAGGGUUUAGAACCUGUUCAACCAACGGGCCGCACAUUAGGAGGUAGUUGAGAAGUAAGGCAGAUUCUUCUGUCUUUUUUUCCUGCUGGUAUCCUUUUGGGUUCGGAAGCUGCAGAUAAUGUGCCAGAAAGGGGGGGAUUCAACAUAAAAACUACCCUGUAUGUUGAUUUCUUACUUAUUUUUCACUCUAAUAUAAUCAGUAUUUUGUGCACAACGAAGAAAAUAAUUGUCCAAAUAUGGUGUGUCAUACACCGUUGAAUUUGUUAUCAAAUUUGCAAUAAAGAUGCAUUCCAGUCUAGAAAUGUAAAAUUUUGACAAUUUUUCGCAAAAAUUUA